rnacentral:rRNA from 1 species
UACGUAGGGUGCGAGCGUUAAUCGGAAUUACUGGGCGUAAAGCGUGCGCAGGCGGUGAUGUAAGACAGAUGUGAAGUCCCCGGGCUCAACCUGGGAACUGCAUUUGUGACUGCAUCGCUGGAGUGCGGCAGAGGGGGAUGGAAUUCCGCGUGUAGCAGUGAAAUGCGUAGAGAUGUGGAGGAAUACCGAUGGCGAAGGCAGCCUCCUGGGCCAACACUGACGCUCAUGCACGAAAGCGUGGGGAGCAAACAGG